GAUGAACGCUGGCGGCGUGCUUAACACAUGCAAGUCGAACGGUGAACGAGGGAGCUUGCUCCCUCCGGAUCAGUGGCGAACGGGUGAGUAACACGUGAGCAAUCUGCCCUGGACUCUGGGAUAAGCGUUGGAAACGACGUCUAAUACCGGAUACGAGACGCGAAGGCAUCUUCAGCGUCUGGAAAGAAUUUCGGUCCAGGAUGAGCUCGCGGCCUAUCAGGUAGUUGGUGAGGUAACGGCUCACCAAGCCUACGACGGGUAGCCGGCCUGAGAGGGUGACCGGCCAGACUGGGACUGAGAAACGGCCCAGACUCCUACGGGAGGCAGCAGUGGGGAAUCUUGCACAAUGGGCGAAAGCCUGAUGCAGCAACGCCGCGUGAGGGACGACGGCCUUCGGGUUGUAAACCUCUUUUAGCAGGGAAGAAGCGAAAGUGACGGUACCUGCAGAAAAAGCACCGGCUAACUACGUGCCAGCAGCCGCCGUAAAAC
rnacentral:rRNA from 1 species